GGUUCUGCCCACAGCCUCACCCCACCAGCCUUCUCACAGGGAAGGUGCCAGGGCUCUGUGGCUGCCACAGUCCUGUGGUGUCCAGACCAUUUCUCAAGCUUGCUUUAGAUUGUGGCAAUGAGUUAAUUUUGCAUAGACAUUAUUGAAUAUCAUUCAGUGAGUUACUACAGAAAUGUAGAUUCAUAAAAAAACAACAACAACCCAAGUCUCAUCAACUGUUUCUCAAGUUUCUUGGGUCUCCCAAUGACCCAUGGCCAUCUGCUGGGAGAUCUCUGUGCAUGAGGACCUGAUGGAUUUGUAGGAGAUCCUGCUCUUCUAUGGGAGUAGCCCCAGUGGGCACGCUGCUCAAAUGAGGCUGGUAAGGGCUAAUGAAGGUGCCUAGACUCAAUCUUAGGUUUUGGGUAUAGGACCCUUCGAUGGUCCCCAAACUCACCCCAGGGAGAAUGCAAUCAGUGUCCCCACAGGGAGAGCUGUAGGAAACUCACAGAAGAAUGCUGUAGGGAAUCCUGCCAAAAGUGCAAUUCUGGAGAGCUCCAAACCACACUUUGGGGACUCGAAUGAUCUAUGAUGCUGGCAGGGAGCGAACUUGCACUUGAAAUUUCAAUAAUUUCUCUGGGUGUGAGAGAAGAACCAAGUAAUGUUUCCAGAAUCAUUUUGUUGCUGUUCAGACCUCUUCCUGUUCAUCCCUCAGGCAGGUGUAGCCAGGAAAAGUGAGGAUGACAUUUGUUUGCAAACAAUAUUUACUGAACCCCUCGAGUUCAGAGCCCAAAUUGGAUUAUUUUGUUUCUGAUUAACUGAUUGGGGAGUGAUGAAGGAAUUUCCACUGGCUCUGGAAAUUGGGAAGGAAAAAAGGUGAGGAUGAUAAAGUCAGCAAAAGAAUAAGCAUUCAGGGUUGGGCAUGGUGGCUCGCACCUGUAAUCCCAACAUUUUGGGAGGCUGAGGCAGGCGUAUCACUUGAGGUCAGGAGUUUGAAACCAGCCUGGCCAACAUGAUGAAACCUUGUCUUUACUAAAAAUACAAAAAAUUAGCCCAUGUGGUGGUGCAUGCCUGUCCCAGCUACU
rnacentral:lncRNA from 1 species